CCUACGGGGUGCAGCAGUGAGGAAUAUUGGUCAAUGGGCGCGAGCCUGAACCAGCCAAGUAGCGUGAAGGAUGACUGCCCUACGGGUUGUAAACUUCUUUUAUAAAGGAAUAAAGUGAGGCACGUGUGCCUUUUUGUAUGUACUUUAUGAAUAAGGAUCGGCUAACUCCGUGCCAGCAGCCGAGGUAAUACGGAGGUUCCGAGCGUUAUCCGGAUUUAUUGGGUUUAAAGGGAGCGUAGAUGGGUUGUUAAGUCAGUUGUGAAAGUUUGCGGCUCAACCGUAAAAGUGCAUUUGAUACUGGCAGCCUUGAGUGCAGUUGAGGUAGGCGGAAUUCGUGGUGUAGCGGUGAAAUGCUUAGAUAUCACGAAGAACUCCGAUUGCGAAGGCAGCUUACUAAACUGCCACUGACAUUGAUGCUCGAAAGUGUGGGUAUCAAACAGGAUUAGAUACCCCUGUAGUC
rnacentral:rRNA from 1 species